GAGGAGCGGCCGCUCCCUGCCGCGCCGUCGCAUGGCAGCUGCUCCGCGUCGCUGGUCCCCCAUCUAGCUCGUGUGUCCCCGUCGCCUGGAGGAGCAGAGGCUGCCGCUCCAGCAUCUUCUCGGCCCUCCUUCCCUCGUCGGCGAGCGGCUCAUGGCAACUCCAGACCGUGCUCUGUCGCCUCCAACUUUGGUCCCCGUCUCCACUUCAUUAGGGAGGCAGGUCUGAAUCCAAAUGUGGAACAGGGAAAGGUAAAAGCAGCUCAAUUGGUUGGUUCAAGCUACAGGUUGGCACCUACGCAGAAAGAGGUGACGGAUUGAAAGGUCAAUCCACAAGAGCGAACUAAGAAGGAACCACUCAGAAUAAUCAUCGAUACGGACAAUGACGGUGAAGGCCGUACUUCUCGGGCGAUUCUCAACGUAGAAUCAGUUGACCUGACGGAAGAAGCCGGCAGCGAGUCGGGCCUGCGGCUUUUGUGGUGGGGUGAGGAAGAGGAGGACGAGGAGUGAAACGCUGUCCAUUGAUGAUGUCGCCUUGCUGCUAGGAGAAGGCGAGAGGAGGAGGCAGGAGCCUGGACCAGAAGCACAGAAGGAUGAGGCUAUUCACGCGGUAAUUGCAGGAGUUGAUGAUAUGUAUCGUCCAGCACCGUUACUUGAGGUCGCCGCUGGAGCCGGACAAGGUAAUGGCUUACCUUACCCGGUGAGGUGCUGAGUAGGAAGAUCGCGCAAGACACCACCACCACCACCAGGUACUAGAGGGCGCCAUCAAGUAUGUCGCCGUACUGAUUGCCGAUAACCUAUAGGUCCAUCUCUUCUCUCUCUCUCUCUCUCUCUCUCUCUCUCUCUCUUUGUAGUUCUGGAUUAGGCUUACCUGAACUACUUAAUGUGACAAAAUAUCUUAAACAAGCUCUGUGAUUUCCUAUGCUCUCUUAUAUUAUCAAAGAAAAAAGAACUGCUCUUAUAUUAUAUUUGUUAGUUCCUUUAUACCCCAAGAGAAAAUAGAACUGACUAACAAAACUCUGUUGAUGAUGAAUAAUGCAGUGUAUAUAAUUCAGGGGCCCCUUUUCUUUCAUUUGUUGCUCAGUUAGCUUGUUGUUCUUACCUGCUGUUCUGAUUUUGUUUUCUGGGUGCUGUAUAGGAUACUAUGGUUAAAGAUUGUUCUGAUUUAUAUCGAUGUUGUUGAUUAUCAAAAUUAGUGGAUAUUAUCUAGGGUGCUUCUCCUUUGGAUUUGAUGUACUAUGUCUUUCCAGCUUAUACUAGAUGAUUUCUUUUCAUGGUUUUUGAUAAUUAUGGAUAUGUAUCUAAUAAUCUUAUUUUGGCGUCAACAAAUUACUCAUCUAGCAUUUCUUCUAUUACAGCUCUGUAUCUUUUUCUUUACAUGGUUACUGCACUAUUGAAGUAGUUGUAUUCUGGACUCUUUCCAUUUUACCUUGCUUGGCUGACUAGAGCCCAGAAAUAACAUUUAGUUCUGGUUGUUUUGAUCAAGUAAGUGACACCUAACUGUCAUUGAUUUCUGGGAUUGUUCAUUAUCUUGAGCCAUGCCUGGUACUGAAUCUGAAUGUUUCCAUCUCUGGUACCAUGGCACGGGGUUGGCGGCGGCAUCUUGGUGAAGAAGAGGACGACAGUGGCUUAGGGAGGAAGAUGACAGUGGCAACCUGAUCUAUAUGAAUUGAGAAGCUUUCUUUCUUCCUAAAUGUGUUGAUAUGCUCUUCAUUGAUAUAGCAUAUCCUUUUCUGUAUUAUUCACAUAAUUCUUUGCUAGCAGAAUAUCCUAAACAAUCUGAAAAAUAGAUAGCUUGAAGGAUGCACGUUGUAGUGUCAAAAGGAUGCAGAACAUUUGUGCGUUCCCUCUAGAAUUUCCCCGCCUAUAUGAUUUUCAUCGAAUUAUUGCGGUCAACCUCUUUUGAUCAUUUGCUCACAAUCUGGUAAUUCACGCUUACAAUUUGUCAAGCUGAAGAAGUCUGUUUAGGCUACAUGCUCUUACCUCCUUAGACUCGGCAGAUGGGCCUUUUACAAUGAAAUAAUGUUCUUUUAUUAGAUAAAUUAUUAGGUUUUAUUUGGCUCUGCAGAGGGAUAACAUAGGACGGUAAUUUACAUUUCUGUAAUGAGUUGGAAAUAAAGAGGAGCACCUCUAUUUUAUAUGGAAUGCUGAACUUUAUAUGGAAUGCUUAAUUAAGUUCUGAUAUCAAUUUCCAUUUAUGUAAUGAGUUGGAAAUAAAGAAAUGAUUAAGAAAUAUUCAUCUAGCAGAUUCUUAUGAAUGUGCAAAGUUAGGAGUACAUUGAAUUUCUAGAUGUUUCCAGCCUACCACAUUUAUUUAUUUGCAUAUAUUUUCCAAUGUAGGUUGGUAGCCUGUUGCUCAUUCCAUGCAUCUGCUCUACUGCUGGCCUCUGCCUCCUCGUUCUUUAGGAGACGGUACAAGUCAUGGAGAAUUUGUGCAACCUCCGUUCCUUUCCGACGUGUUGUGAGUUGUUGAAGGAGCGAGAGGACGCAAGACUGGGAUCAAAGCCGAGGUUGGACCGGUGAUGGCGGCUGCAGCGGGACGGAUGACAGACAAAAAAGACAGUUCCUCAUAUUUGUCUCCGAUGAAAAAAGAUCAUCUGGUGACAAACACCUCCUUCUUUUUUCUAUAUGCAUCCUCCCAUGACAAAACUUGUUUCUGGACAGGGUAUCUUGCUGGGGAAAUAGACCCUGUAGUCUAUAUUUGUGCCUGUUAAGACUUUUUAUUGUUAUUAAGUGAAGCUAGCUCUGUAUAAAAGGGCUUUCGGUUGAUUAAAGUUUCACUGAAAAGAAUGUUUAUUUCAGUCCAUAUCUUAUUCCAAAUUCCCAUGAUCUAAUUGGUGUUCUAUGCAGAACAACACUUUUGGGUUUUAGGUAAUCUUUGAAUGGUCUCUAAAUGGUAAUCUUGCCUGACCACUGACUUUUUGAGUUUUGCCUUACAAGAGCAUUUCCAUGCAAAUAUAUAACAUGACGAUCUUGGAUUUCUUAUGGGUAUGAUAAUUUAUUUUUUCUAUAUGAUCAUAUGAGGUCAUGUGUAUUUUAUUCGAGCAAGUAAGGCAUAUAUCCGUUUCUUUGGAGAAUUAAAUAGGAGAAUUACUUGAACUCAAGCAGCUUUGUGGCAUUUGUUUAUGUUUAAAUUGUUUACAUUCAGAUUGGUUUCCUAAUUUCUAUUACACGGUUGGUCUCUGCAUUCCAGUUUGGUUUGUCUGUUGUAUAUAUAAUUGUGAGCUUUGUUUACUUUUACUUAUUAGGUUUCUUAGGGUCAUUCCUCCAUUACUGCUGCCACUGCUCCUUUGGUUCUUGGUCAUUGCUCUGACGAAUGUCUCCGUCCCAGGUAAUUUUCUUCUGCCUUUUGUUAUUAUUAUGUGAGUUGUCAUUGUUUUUACAUUGUAUGUUAUAUUUCCUGUUCCUUUGGCUUGGAUAAUCCGUCUUUUAUUCAUCAUCCAUUACUGUUGUUGCUGCUCCUUUAGUUCUUGGUCACAUAUAAGCUGUAAUUGUUUUUACACACUAAUGAGGGCCUUUGGAUAAUCUGUCUUUGAUUCAUUUUUCUUAUCAGAGCUCAGUUAUUGAUAUUUCAAGCCAAGUUUUUUCCACUAUUAUAAUAAAUUGAGGAGUGUUGAGAAGAAUCUAUUUGGGUUGCUCUCAUUGAAUUUCUCAUUAAGACAUGCACUCAGUUCUGGUUUAUCAAGUUAUGUAUAAUAUGUAUAUGUUGGUAUGCAUGGCAUCACUCAAAUGUGUGUAUUCCUGCUGUUGAAUUUUAGAAUCAGCACUCUGUUUUCUUUUCAAGCAUCUCUCGAAACCAUCUUUGAGAAAAAUUCUUUACUAAGUAAUGAUUUCUUCUUUUCUGUAGUAUUCCUCAAGUUUAUGAAUGAACUGAUAGAUGUCAUCUACUGCCUAUUAAGUAGGCUAUGCAAAAUAUGUUAUCAUGUAACUUGUACCCAUGCAUCAGUGAUAAAGCUGAUAAUUUUCAUUUUAUCUCAGGGUUGCUCCGUCCAUUUAUCUCUUUUUAUGUUCAGUAGUGAAGAGGGUUAUAUUCCUAACUAUGCAGAGAUUAUUAAGGGUGUUAAGUUGCUUCUCAUAAGUGAUUGGGACUAUGAGAUCAUUAAGGGGCAUUGAGCCGCUGCCCAGAGGUAUACUUUCUUUUAUUUCUUAUAUAUUUCAACCACUUAGUUUUGUUGUCUCUAAACCAUUUUUGAUGACUCAAGUUGAUCAUACUAUUGUGAGAAUCUUGGCCAGGAUCAUUCUUUAUAUCAUGUUGGAUCAUCUUAGAAUUCGUAGAGCCAGUUACCAUCGAAGGAUGUACUCAUAGAACACAAUCAGUGUAAUUGUGCUUUUCUACACUUCUGCCUAGAGCAAUGGGAUAUGUAUGAUGUAUUGUAUGGCUACCCUCUAAUGCACUACUCAGCCUCCUGUACAAAUGACUUGAUCUAAUUAUUAUGAAAGACAUGUGGAGUGUGUUGCUUUAUAUAUACAUAAUUUGCUAUAA